rnacentral:rRNA from 1 species
GAUGAACGCUGGCGGCGUGCCUAAUACAUGCAAGUCGAGCGAACGGACGAGAAGCUUGCUUCUCUGAUGUUAGCGGCGGACGGGUGAGUAACACGUGGAUAACCUACCUAUAAGACUGGGAUAACUUCGGGAAACCGGAGCUAAUACCGGAUGAUAUUUUGAACCGCAUGGUUCAAAAGUGAAAGACGGUCUUGCUGUCACUUAUAGAUGGAUCCGCGCUGCAUUAGCUAGUUGGUAAGGUAAUGGCUUACCAAGGCAACGAUGCAUAGCCGACCUGAGAGGGUGAUCGGCCACACUGGAACUGAGACACGGUCCAGACUCCUACGGGAGGCAGCAGUAGGGAACCUUCCGCAAUGGGCGAAAGCCUGACGGAGCAACGCCGCGUGAGUGAUGAAGGUCUUCGGAUCGUAAAACUCUGUUAUUAGGGAAGAACAUAUGUGUAAGUAACUGUGCACAUCUUGACGGUACCUAAUCAGAAAGCCACGGCUAACUACGUG